GAAACAAGAAAUGGUUUUGUUAGCAGGCAACCUGUUGCGCAGAUUCACAAAACAAGCAUUCAUUUUCUCUAAGCAGUAGCCUAACAUUGAGGUCAUUAUACAGUUGAGCAUGUGUCCUUGUGCUAAAAUUCCCUCAAAAGCCCCGGAGCGCUGAAAGACGAAUCUCCAAAGAGAUAUGAAGGGGAAAGAUUUCCGAAAACAAGCUGAGAUCAUGCAAGCCAUGAAUCCUACGGCGUCACUGAUAUAACCUCCUAGAACAAAGUCCAUAUUAUGUGUGGAAAAAAAUCAUCUAAUUAUCAGGCGCAGACGAGAGGCACCAUGUCUCUAAAUUAAUCUACCGAUGAAAAAAGGUAAUAAAUAAAUGUACACUUUAAAUAAAUAUACCCUCUAAACCCCUUUUUCCUAAAUAUGUUAAAUGUUCCACUACUCUAGUAAUACAAUCAGUCCUCUGCUGGUUUUGAAAAGAAUUUAAAAAAAGCAGAUCCAAUAUAUCUCUGGAGAAAAUAAGAAUUAGACGCUCCCCUAAAUGACCUGAAAAUGACAUAAAAAUAUUUGAAAAAGGCAAAAGAAACAAGCAAAAACAUAAAACGCAGUCUGCACCACUUUUCCGCAGAUAGACAUAACCACAACGCAACUGACAUCAUAACGGUAAGCUGUUGGACAAAUGUCUUCAAGCACUUCAUUGGGAAAGAAUCAUGUUAGUUUAAAUUUAUGGUGACUUUUACGGCAGCUUAACUGAGACAGGAUCGCCGGUUAAGCCCAGAAUUUUUACGCCAGCAGAAAAGUUUAUUUUUAAAGUCUGACAGGACAGCUGGUUUGACAGGUUAGUAUCUGAAAAAAAAAAAGAAAGAAUUGUAAAAGCACACACAGGGUCAGUGCGACACCGCCAGACCGCGCACAGAGUAAAAAGCUUGUGGGGUCUCUUUAGAUCGCAGACGGGUUAACAGGCAACCAAGUCUUUAUGUCACUGCUACAACACUGAAAUAGCAUGAACAUAACUUUUACAACAGCGUGGCACAUGUGAUAUAAACAUACGGUGUCUUAUUUUUGUUCCCAACUUGUGAUAAAUAUCUACAGUAUAUAGGUUAUAGCUGAUUUGCUUUUUUCUUCCUUUUUCACAACUGUCUUGCCAUUUCAUGCCUUGUUAUAAAAAUGAGAAAACCAACAACAACAACAACAAAACUGUUUAGAAGAUGCCAAAAAAGGCUGAACAAAUUAAGAAUGUCACAAUUCAAUUUAACUACAUUGAUCAAGUUCAGAUUUUUAUUGUGUUUACGUGUCCCUUUAAAGAAGUACAAUCUGUUAUCUCUAUAAUAUAUCUUUGAGCAGGUAACUAUAAACUAAUAAAACUUGCUGUCUGUGCAGACAUUAUGUAAGCUUCACAUAGUUUUGAACGCCAGCAAAGCUGUGGAAAACGACACGAAAAAAAACAAAACAUGCCGGAUGCAGAAAAGACCUUGCUUCUGCAGCGUUUAUUGUAAGUUCAAGGUAAGGAUGAUGACACAUGGUGGUAAUAACUGCCCUCCUUUCUCUCUCAGCGAACUUGCAUGAGAACACAUACGCAGGAUGUACGGUUCGGCAUCUGGGUCUCUGACGUGGGUCUCUUUGAAACCACUUUGAAGGAAUCAGCUUUGCUGGUCACUUUCAUUUGCGUCGGUGCAGACGAAAUAUUCACAAUGCAGAUCACAGAUAAGAGUCCAGCAUCUCACAACUGGAAAGUUGAAGCAUGCUGAUAAGGUUCUAAUGUUCACAAUCACAUCAAUGAUGGAUUCUGCUUUGCGGCAAGAUAAGCCUUAUGUAUACAAGCUCUGUUUGAACCAUCUUACUAACCUGUAAUUACAUGUCAAGCUGCUUUAAGGCAUAUUCUCUAGCAGAUUCGGUAGCAGCUGCCAGCGCCGUGCAGCAUGGCUGGUUGUCUGUGUUCAGACCCACAAUCACAGCAGCGGUAGUUUACUGUAUUUAAAAGAGAGGGCAGGACUCACGAGCAUCAUCUGCCUCACAUAACUACCUGUUCUCUUCUCUCUGAAAAACACACUGCAGGUCAUAUACAGUAGGUUCACACAGGAAGUGCAGUACCUGGGCUAAAAAUAGAGCUGCAAUAACCUCUGUUUGGUAGAUUCACUGGCGUUGAAACCGAAGAAGGAUGAUUACCUUUCAUUAAGCAUGUACACACUUUGGGGCUCGAGACUGCAUAUGCUAGAUAUGAAAUGACUAUUUCUGUAGAUCAUAGAGGCAUGGUGGGUUACACAGAGUUUUUAAACCUAAUCUCAAAGAAUUUAUAUUUUAUCUUUUUUUUUUCUUUUAAACAAAUCUGUCAAUAAUUGUGACUGAGUGCGGCUGGCGAAUUUGAACUCAAAUCUCCAAAUAAGUUAAUUUAUUUCCUUCUGCAACAGGCCGAGUUGCUCGGAUAGCUUUUUCAUUCUGGAUUAUAUGAAGAGUGAUUUUGGAAUUUGUUCUGGUCAUCUCCAUCUGAUAUGAAAAACUAAUGACAUCAAUUACGGCAUAAAAAAAAAAUAAACAGAAGAAUUAUUAUUGAAUGCUUUUCGCAUCAUUGUACAUCGUAUAAGACCUAUGUAGAAAUUAAAGACAAUUCUUUUUACCAAGAUGAUAACGCUCAAACCAGCCCCUAAGAAACCAGUCUUUAAAGAAAAAGGAAUGGAAUAAUUUUAGAGAAGCGAUUGUAGAAAUUCAAAUUCAUCUGAAUAAUAUUAAGAGACAUUUAAUGAAUGUUCAAUGGAUCACUUGGAGUCCAUCAAACGGUUUUUACAAAUUACAAAAACGUCCCAUAGGUUUUUCGCAGUACUUCUAGUUGUGGCUGUCUCAGCAACAUGAAGACAAGGGGCCCUAGUACAGAGAGAAAUUUAAUUUUGAAUGCUAGAGGCAACUUCAAUGAAGAAAAAAAUAACAAUUCUAAACUCUUUAAAAGGUGUUACACAGAGGACAUUCCUGCUGAAUAUCUACCAGCAAGAUAUCACUCAAGGGUUCAAAUCUCUAAUAGUUCAUUGGCUCAAACAAAGUCAAGAAAAUAAUAUUUGUAAAAACAUUACAUGUGAGAUUUUAUUGUUACUUUUUAUUAUUCAAGUAUAGGUGGUCUAGAACAAAUUGUGAAUAAAGAGAAGCUUAUUCAGAGCCAGUAAAAAAAUAAAUAAAUUGACAGCUGAAGUCAAAAUUAGGUAGAAAAUUCUAAAAUAUUUUUUAAAAUGUUACUCCAUAAACCCAAAGUCCAUAAGGUGAAACAGUGUAUGAUUGUAGUCACAUAAAGGAGGUACAGAUGGGUGUGAAGUAAAACCUGGUGCGAACUGACAGGGAGGGGAUUUGGUUAGCGCUCUAGCUUAGAUGAAACAAAGCUAAAGAGUUAUUGGUAGAUGAUAAACCAAAAACAUAACUAAACCCACACACCCUAAGGUUCGCAAAAAGUAAGAUUUUCAUUUCAGACUGUCAAAACUUAGUAUUGUGAGAAAUAAAAAUGUAAUCAAGUACAUUCAUACUCAUGAGUGAGUUUUGCAUAUUUUGAAUAUCAAAUAUAAUGCUCUAUAUUGCUACACUGUGUUGAACCCUUUACAAACUUGUAUUCUCAUUAUAGUUUGAAAGGUUUCAGCUAAGGAUAAGAUGAAUAACCCUGUUUGCAUACCACAGUUAGAUAAGGAGAGCGCAAAUUGUGGCAGAACAGGAUCCAGCCAGUCAGGAUGUUCUAGCAGCAGAAGUAAAAGGUAAAACAGCUAAGAAAGCAGAACUCCUUAAAUGGUUAGCAGCCAAGAGUUGAGUAUUUUAUGCAGGAGAGGAUUUGACAGGUAUCAUUUGCGUGUAUGGGAACAGUUGGAGGGAUUCGCGACGUCUCGGGGCGCGAGGAUGAGAGAUAAAAGUAUGAAGUCCUCACUCUCGCACUCAGACACGACCUCCUCCGGCAGGGACUUAUUGCUGUUCGUGUUUGUGGAUCCGGGUAGAGAGACGUGGUUUUGAGGCGAUGGUUGUUUCGCUGGAGGAACUAUGUCUGUCGGCUGGCCUGGGAACGCCUUGGGAUUCCCCCGAAGGACCUGGAACAAGUGGCUGGGGGGAGGGAAGUCUGGUCCUCCCUUCUGAAGCUGCUACCCCCGCGACCCGACCCCGGAUAAAGCGGAAGAAAAUGGAUGGAUGGAUGGAUGGUUGUUUCUGUCUCAACAGUAUGUUAGAGGUUCCAAGUCCACAACAUUAACACACGCACAUGUAUGAUUUUGUUUGGAGAUGGCAAAGAGAGAAUUUCUUUUAGCUCUGAAAAGACAAGAGCAGUAUGGUUUUGGGCUUGUUAAAUAUUGCAGUGUUUCCCAACCCUGGUCCUCAAGGCACACUGACCUGCAUGUUGUAGAUGUUUCCCUGAUUGCAAUUCAGGAAAAGCCUGUUAAUCAGCCAUCUACUGAAAUCAUGUGUGCCAAAGCAGGAAAAUGCCUAAAACAUGCAGGGCAGUUUGCCUUGAGACCCAGGGUUGAAAAACAUUUAAAUAUUCUACCUAAACGGCACAUAAAGUGAAUAUCGGAAGUUUAUACUCUUAUGCCAUUUUUCCAUGGCAUGUAAAGACAAGAACAAGAUACUUCUUCAGAAGAUUUUUUCCCCUAUGAUAAACAUGAAACAUAUUUUGGAUUAUAGAUAAUUGUGUGUCUGUGUUGUUCCCAAAAACAUGAACUAAUGAGUAAAGGAGCAAGGGGGGAGAAGGGGAACUACAAAUUGCUGUUUUUUUGUAAUUCCCCUACAAACAAUGGGACAAGAAACAGGUGGGAAAAUAAUUAACACCGACGAAAGCUGAGGUGAAACCUAACGAACCAUAAAACCAGGAAAGCAGGAAAGCACAAAGAAAGUCAGAAUCAGAAACAAAAUGUGUGAAAAUUAACUACAUAGCGGAAUAAACAAAGUAAAAAAUAUUAUAUUUGCUUGGAAAGAAAAUACUAAUAAUAAACAAGCUGCAGUAACUUCAUUGCAUAAGUGCACACCCAUAAGCUAAUGUUUUAAUAUUAGGUUCCAGCAUUUAUUUUUGUUGUUGUACACUCCUGCCAUCAAUUACAAAUAAUCUAAUUAACCAGUUUUUGCAUUCUGAUAUGUAUUUUUUUCCUUCAAUAAAUUAUGUCAGUGUUGGAUAUUGUAUCCUGCUUUGUGUUCGUAAAGACCUAAUUUCAGAACAUUAGCAAAGACAACUGCUCCUUUUCACCCAUGGCGUCGCUUCCAUCAACUUCAUCUUCAGUAGCCGCUUGCAUUUUCUGUAGAGCUUAAAAAAAAAACUUGUACCAAGAUAAUAACGAGCAGCAUUUAAUUAGCAGAAUAAUCUCUGAGUGCAGAGAUGAAGACGUUCUGGUUUUGCGCUUACUCUGAUUUAGACAUUUCGAGGUACCAUUUUGAUUUUUAAAAAAAGCUUUAAGAACUAUUCAAACAAAGUCCACCAGUCAAAUAAAGAGUGGUUUCUGGUAGUAGAACUUCGCAGCUGUUGAUGAAUUAGCCCAGCUACUUGGGG